rnacentral:rRNA from 1 species
UACGUAGGGGGCGAGCGUUGUCCGGAAUCAUUGGGCGUAAAGCGCGUGUAAGCGGUCCGGUAAGUCCGCUGUGAAAGUCGGGGGCUCAACCCUCGGAUGCCGGUGGAUACUGUCGGGCUUGAGUACGGAAGAGGCGAGUGGAAUUCCUGGUGUAGCGGUGAAAUGCGCAGAUAUCAGGAGGAACACCAAUUGCGAAGGCAGCUCGCUGGGACGUUACUGACGCUGAGACGCGAAAGCGUGGGGAGCAAACAGG